rnacentral:tmRNA from 1 species
GGGGGUGAGUUGUUUCGACAUUGGUCGUCGAGGUGAAAGAAGCGAGCCGUGGUCACCGGAGCCACGUAAAAGAGCCGGUAACAAUAAAUAAACGCCAAGCCUCAGCUUGCGCUUGCUGCUUAGGUAGCAACAUCCGCCUGGACCCAGCCCUACGGUCUAGAUAACGGGUGUCAUGAAGUAGGGCUUACUUAGAUCACUCGUUGAUGGCGUUCUAAGGAAAUUUCAGUCAACUACGGAGUGGCAGUGGUGCUGGUGCCAAAGCUUCUCUCGACAAUUGCUCACCAGCUGCGCUCGGAGAAUGUUCACUAAGAAGCUGAUGGACCUGGGUUCGUUACCCAGCACCUCCAA